AAAUGAAUAGACGGGGGCCCGCACAAGCGGUGGAGCAUGUGCUUUAAUUCGAUGCAACGCGAAGAACCUUACCCAGGCUUGACAUGGGGGCGAAAGCCUAUAGAAAUAUAGGAACUCCGCAAGGACGCCCUACACAGGUGCUGCAUGGUUGUCGUCAGCUCGUGUCGUGAGAUGUUGGGUUAAGUCCCGCAACGAGCGCAACCCUCGCCCUUAGUUGCCAACAGGUAAAGCUGGGAACUCUAAGGGGACUGCCUGGUUUAACCAGGAGGAAGGUGGGGAUGACGUCAAAUCCUCAUGGCCCUUACGCCUGGGGCUAGACACGUGCUACAAUGGUCGGUACAACGGGCUGCAAGCUGGCGACAGCAAGCUAAUCCCUAAAAACCGAUCUCAGUUCGGAUUGGAGUCUGCAAUUCGACUCCAUGAAGCUGGAAUCGCUAGUAAUCGCGGAUCAGCAUGCCGCGGUGAAUACGUUCCCGGGCCUUGUACACACCGCCCGU
rnacentral:rRNA from 1 species